GGUAAGGCCCUUUCGGGGGUACACGAGCGGCGAACGGGUGAGUAACACGUGGGUGACCUGCCCUCCACUCUGGGAUAAGCCCGGGAAACUGGGUCUAAUACCGGAUAGGACCACUGAUCGCAUGGUUGGUGGUGGAAAGUUUUUUCGGUGGGGGAUGGGCCCGCGGCCUAUCAGCUUGUUGGUGGGGUGAUGGCCUACCAAGGCGGUGACGGGUAGCCGGCCUGAGAGGGCGACCGGCCACACUGGGACUGAGACACGGCCCAGACUCCUACGGGAGGCAGCAGUGGGGAAUAUUGCGCAAUGGGCGGAAGCCUGACGCAGCGACGCCGCGUGGGGGAUGACGGCCUUCGGGUUGUAAACCUCUUUCGCCAGGGACGAAGAGCAAUUGACGGUACCUGGAGAAGAAGCACCGGCCAACUACGUGCCAGCAGCCGCGGUAACACGUAGGGUGCGAGCGUUGUCCGGAAUUAUUGGGCGUAAAGAGCUCGUAGGCGGUGUGUCGCGUCGGCCGUGAAAACUUGGGGCUUAACUCUGAGCGUGCGGUCGAUACGGGCAUCACUUGAGUUCGGCAGGGGAGACUGGAAUUCCUGGUGUAGCGGUGAAAUGCGCAGAUAUCAGGAGGAACACCGGUGGCGAAGGCGGGUCUCUGGGCCGAUACUGACGCUGAGGAGCGAAAGCGUGGGGAGCGAACAGGAUUAGAUACCCUGGUAGUCCACGCCGUAAACGUUGGGCGCUAGGUGUGGGGACCAUUCCACGGUUUCUGUGCCG
rnacentral:rRNA from 1 species